rnacentral:lncRNA from 1 species
UGCCCCUUUGAACUCUUGACUCCAAGCUCCUUGAGAAAGAAGCAUAUUGCUGGGAAUGAAAGAUCUCUAAUGAGACCAAAUGGCAGAACAAGAUUUCUCACCUCUAUAGCUCUGAGCUGGAGGGACCACCAAGUAUUUCCAGACAAGGAGGAACUGUCACCUCACAUUGCUUGUGAAUCACUGCACAUCUGGUCCUCCUGCCCUGGGACAAGAACUGCAGCAGGAAAAGUCAAUGAGGACUACAUGAAGCCAAAGACAGAAGCAGUAUCUACCAAGUAUAUGGAGAAGAGAAUCACCACCCCCCCCCAAAUCGGUCACCUCAAUCCUUCUGUAUCCUGCAAUAAAAUGGGGCACAAGCAAAUAAGAGCUUAUUUACUGCUGCAUAAAACUUUGGCUGAACAGUCAAGGAGAGGAAGUCUGCUUUCGAUUUCAACCAUCUGGAAACAUUACAUCUCAAAACUAAGAUCUUUCCAAUUUUCUUGUAGGAUAAGUAGCGUGUCUUCUCCUUAA